AACGUAGGUGGCAAGCGUUAUCCGGAUUUACUGGGCGUAAAGAGCCCGCGGGCGGUUGCUCAGGUCGGUUGUGAAAUCUCCCGGCUCAACUGGGAGGGGACUGCCGAAACCGAGCGACUUGAGGGCCGGAGAGGGACAUGGAAUUCCCGGUGUAGUGGUAAAAUGCGUUGAGAUCGGGAGGAACACCAGUGGCGAAAGCGAUGUCCUGGCCGGAACCUGACGCUUAGGGGCGAAAGCGUGGGGAGCGAACGGG
rnacentral:rRNA from 1 species